GGUUCCCCAGGGAGGUGGUAGAUGCCUCAUCCCUGGAAGUGUUCAAAACCAGGUUGGGUGAGGCUCUGAUCAACCAGGUCUAUUGGAAGAUGUCCCUGCCUGUGGCACGGGGGUUGGAACUGUACAACCUUUAAUGGUCCCUUCCAAACCAAAACAUUCUAUAGUUCUAUGAUUCUAUGAAUGAUCAUCUGUGCACAUUUUUAUUUUUACUCUGGCGAUGAUUUGGAUAUUGAAGUGAAUCACUCUCAGUGUAGUUAACUGGUAUUGAGGUGAAUCACUCUCAGUGUAGUUAACUGGUAUUGAAGUGAAUCACUCUCAGUGUAGAUAACCAGCCACACUCCUGCAGACUUACUGUGGUAAGUAGCUACUGUAUGCCUAUAUAGUUCAGAGGAUGGUAGUUGUCCUUUAUUAAAUACUGACUUUCCAUUACUCAUUGUCAGAUUUUUAUUUGCUCAGAGAGCAGUAUAAAUUCUGUUAAUUGUCAUGUUGCUAGUGAAUCUACCCUGCCUGCUCAGUAAAUUUUAAGUCUUCUGAAAUAGCAUUUGACAGACUGUGAAUUACCAGAGUUGUGAAUUAACCUUGCUCUGCCCUUCUGCUUCACCUCUGCCUGCACAGUGGCAUGGUGCCUGCCAGUAUAUUGCUUGUUCAUCCUAGUCUCUGCUCUGUAUACAGUGAUAAGGAUCUUGAUGCUUUCUUUUCAUAAGCAUCCAGUCUUUUGCAUCAUCUUGUUGUGUAUUGUCAUUGCACACCAUUGCCUUCAGGAUUUUUUUGGGUUUUGAGAGCUCUUUCAGGAAGCUAAAGCCAAAGUCAGGGCCCAACUUGGACAGAAGACACUGUUUUUUUCUUCCCUCCUCGGGGAAUAUGAUCUGAGCUGAGAUUAAGCUUAUAAAUAAGAUCAGGUAUUGGAGUAGUUUAGGAAUGUGAGUUAUGCACAAAGACAAGAAAAGGUCUCGGGUUCUUUCUGCAGAAACAGAUUAUCUGGUUAAAGGUAUGUGCUCUGAGUAACUCAGUCAACAUCAAAGCAAAGGUGCAUCUGUGGCAGUGCCUAGAUAUGCUCUGUGGAAAUCUGCUAAGCCUUUGAAAUCCAAGUGAACACUUAGAGCUAAACAAUCCACUGUCAAACAAAAUAAUUUCCAAAGCUUAGGAAAGGUCAUGUAUUCUAAGUAAACUUUACAAAGGCCGGAUGCUUGUGGGAAUUUUGUUUGUUCUGUGUUCCUCUUGUUCCCCAGAGACUGUCUCCUGCCAUAAGUACUAGUUCUCCUGUAAAAACAUCAUGCUUUUUGGAAGGUGCUGCUGGUUUUAAAUCUCUGGGAAUUGAGAAGAAGAUGCAAAAGCAGUAUACUACUCUGAUAUGUUUCAGUGAGACAGCAACAGCUUUGAAGCCCAGGUGUCACGAUUCACUAGCAAGUCUAUCAGAAGAGGCUGGCACUUAUGGAGGCCAGUGUGACGUGGUGUAUCACCUCCUUUAAGUGGUGGCUUGCAUGUGUCACACAGCGUGUGGAAAGGAAUGAGCAAAGUGAACCCAGGGCAGAGAGAUGGUGUGGGACAGAGGAAGUGGGUUGAGAGGCAAAGCGUGGGAGAGUGUUUGAGUGGUGGUGACAGGGAAGGUGUGGGCUCUGCCUGCUUCUGGGGUACAUUUACAUCUAUUGCUAAUCAUAGCCUCACCUCAGAUCUUCUGUAGGAAAUCUGAUAGCAACACGCUGAUGCCUGGCCCCUGAAGUCUAAGAAUGCCUAACUUUGACUGCAGAGCAGCAAUAAAAGCCUGUGUUUGGCUCAGUACUGUGCAAAUACCCUGUAGCUUUUGCUUCUCAUUUCAUGUAUCUAACCCAAGCACAACUAAUGGCUUGAAAUAAGGAGUACCCUGAAGAGGAAAAAGGAGGGAGUGAGUUGGGGGAGAGAUUGAGAGCAUGGGUAAGUGUGGUACAAUUCAGAGCCCUAAAAUAAGUUACUUAUCUUGUGUUACUGUCUCUCAGAGAUGGGUCAGUGGUGUGUUGGGAAGACACAGAUAGCUGGAGUCAGGUUUUCUGGACUAAAGCUCAAAACAGCUUUACAAAUCACCAGAAACUUGUUCCCUCUCUGAUAAACAUUGCAAAGACCGUAGCUGCAGGCUUGAAUGCUGAUGGGUUGUAAAGUGAUAGCCAAGCUGGUGCAGAACAACAGCACUGGGGUGCAGGUGGGUAGGAAGAGCCUGUCCCAAGUACCCACAGAGGCAGGAGUCCCCUGCUAAAGUGGGCAACAGAAUGAACUUCAGUGCGAGUCCCCCUCUUGUUAGUUCUGAGUGAUUUGGAACAAAUUUAGGGCUAUAAAUAAAUAAAACCUUAUAAACAGUUUCAGAAAUCAGAUGGAUUUGUUUCUUAUUAAGCAGACAUCUCUUGAAAUGCUGCAGCAACAUAAUCAAAUUUCAGUCGCCAUUUACUAGAAACAAUAAUUACUGUCAGGAAUUAAAAGCUGAUUCUACUCUUGCUGAAAUUAAGACCACUGUUACAAGGAGUUACCAGACCAUGUCUUACGUAGUUACUUCUCUGGGAACUGUUGCAGAGAUUGUCUGAAUGCACUAGUAUAUUUGAAUAAAGAACAAAUAUGAAAUCAGUCUUUAGGUUAGCUAUUUGUUCUAGCUAUUGGAGUCCAUAGCUAGUUGAUCCUCCUGCAAGAUCGAAGUUGUAAUGUUCACAAUGUGGUAAUCUCAGCUCAUCAACCACAGGGCAAGGUGACAAUUCCAUUUACUCUGGGGUAGAUAGGUCAAAUCAGAAUUCCUCCGGAAGGGCAAGUUCAGCGACAAUGUUGAGAGUAGCUGACCCAACUGAGCUUUUGAUUUUUCACUAUGAAGUCUUCUAGCGCUUGCAGAGAACAACAAAACAUGAUGGUCUGUGGUGAAAUGAUUCUUUGGUUCUAAUAGUACCAGUGUUGGAGUCAAGCAGUUGUGUCCUUGGGUGCUUACACUCUUGAGUAUUUUGGAUCUGAGCUGUGACACCAGAAGAACCAGAUGUCAGGAACCUGUGCCGCAACACAUUGUCUCUUCCCAGGAAAUUUCUCUGCUAGGAAAGUCCCUGGGCUAGAGAGUUUGCAAAUGUAAAUGCUUUGUAAACAGACUUUGCAGAGGAAACCUUGUACCACCAAUGAGUUCCUUCGGUGCCGUUCCUGGUUUCUGAGGUAAGCAUUAAGGACUGUUACCUUACCCACACCACCCACAAAGGAUUUCUGACACUGAUGACCUAACCAAAAAUCCAAAACCUGGAGAAAAAACAUCACACCACCUAAAUAAAAGAUGUGUUGUCUUUUUUGCUUUCUUUUGUUUCCACAUACCUCAGUUUGAUUAACAGCCUUACACUGCAGUGUUGGUGGUAAAUAGACAACUACACUGUCAUGCCUAGAAAUGCUGUGUAAUUUAUUCAAAGCACAAGAUCCACCAGGGAGAUCUCUGGACUUGAAAGUGCAGUCCUCAAUUCUAUAAAUGUGUUCAUCUACAGCCUGCUUUAUCUUGUAGCAAUAGCUUUGCCUAGCAAUAACGUGGUAUAGAAAGAAUUGUAUUUGCAUGGGGAAGGGAGAGGAAACUUCCACUGAAUGGCUUUUGCAGCAUUACUUCAUUAUUUAAAGCCUAGUAUUUAAGAAGCCACUGUCUGGGACCUGAGGAAUGCUGAUGUGCUUUGCAAAUAAUCCAAGCUGCUUAAGGAACUGUGCACAGAAAUUAACCAAGACCGUGUACCUGCUCUCUGCAAACCCGUCAGUGUUGCUGGCAAAACCUUUUCUAUAUUCAUCAGUGCAGUCCUGGCCACCACAGUGGUGGUAGGUGUUCAUACCUUGGUAGUUGUUGCACUACUCCUCUUUAACCCACAUGAUCAUUCCAGUGACAUGUUUAGCAUACUGCCUUUUGCUCAACCUUCUCUUAAAAAAUGAGGAAUAAGUUGCUUUUUCACAGCUCUGGGGCAAAAGGAGGCAAAGAGUUCACAAUUUAUUCCAAUGUGGAUACCAGCUGUGACACUAACAGUCACAGCACAGGUAGAUGUCAGCAACCAAAUGUCUCAGAAAGGUGCCCUAGCCAGGGGUCUCUAUGUCUUCAUCCUCCACAUUUACCCGCUUUGUCCCUGACUAAGAAUCGGGCACCAAUUUGUGCCAUGUAAUGACAAAUUCUCCAGCAUAAGCUUGGAGCCCCAUAUUUUGCAGAUGUACAGAGCUCUGUGUUUUUAUUUGGCUAGAGGAGGUCUGGUACCUUACAGGCAGCCCUGCACUGGGGUGACAGUGCAGUGAGGAGUGUUUGCUUGACCUUUGGGUGGAAACAUUGCUGAAAGUGAGGAAGCAGUCUCAGGAUUCCGCUCCCACCUUCCUCCUUGAUGCAAUAUGCCAUGCUGGUGGUGGUAGGACAGGGCUGUCCAGGUCAGGCAGAGCAGGCAGGGGAAGACGGCAGGUGAUGUCAGAGAAAGAGCUGGCCUAGCAUGCUGGAGGUGCCACUCGGCAAAACCUCUUCAUGGACAAAGCAGCUACAGUGAGUAACACAUCAGGGAUUGUGGUGUAGCACUGCAGCCCCUGUCCUUGGCAGAGGGAACUGGCAUGAACUAAACACACCAUUACUGGAGCUUACGUAAUAUUUACAGUAGUAGUACAAUUAGGAUUCACAUUACUGUAAUAUCCUAUUUUAAUAAAUCUUGUGUUAAGUUUCUUUGA